rnacentral:rRNA from 1 species
CUUGAACGCUGGCGGCAGGCCUAACACAUGCAAGUCGAACGAGUGGCGGACGGGUGAGUAAUGUCUGGGACACUGCCCGAUGGAGGGGGAUAACUACUGGAAACGGUAACUAAUACCGAAUACACUCGGAUGUGCCCAGCUAGGAUUAGCUAUUAGGUGGGGUAAAGGCUCACCUAGGCGACGAUCCCUAGCUGGUGUACAAGACUGACCAGCCUCAGUGUAGCGGAGACACGGUCCAGACGCAUAAGGGAGGCAGCAGUGGGGAAUAUGGGACAAUGUGCGGAAGCAUGAGGCAGCGAUGGCGAGUGUAUGAAGAAGGCUGUCGGGUUGUAAAGGACUUUCUGCUGUGAGGCGUUACCCGCAGAAGAAGCACCGGCUAACUCCGUGCCAGCCGCCGCGGUAAUAC